AAACUCCCCGGACCGUCCCAGGCUGGUGCUCCCCGACCCACCCCAGGCUGGUGCUUCCCGAUCCGGACCGUCCCAGGCUGGUGACCGUGUGGGAUUAGCUCUCUGUAACAUGCUGUAGACCAACAUUCAGUGUAACUGCCUCCAGUUAAAGGGGAACCAGGGAUUUAGGGUGGGGGUGUAAAUGCACGGGCAUCACAGCGCCCAGUAUGAAGAAGACGACGCGGCCGGCGGCAAAUAAGGCGAGCUGCGAGCGGGGGAAGGCUGAGCCGGCGCCCGGCGGGGGCGCCAAUAAAGCAGGCGUGAAGACAGGCACGUCGGCGCCCCUUUCCAAGGUUAAAAGCAAUGAUGAUCUGUUAGCAGCCAUGACCGGAGGCAGCGCUGCACCCAGCAGCAAGGCCAAGAGGACCGCCUCCACCGGGACCAGCGGCACCGACGGCAAGCCCAAGACCAGCUCAGGGGCCUCGGCCAAGCGCGCGGCGUCCUCCACGUCCAAGGAGCCGAGCUCGACCAGGGACCGCCUGCGCCCCUCCAGGGCCUCGGCCAACAAGAAGCAGGCGGUGGUGCCGGGGGAUGCGGCCCAGGCCAAGCGCUCACGCAGCCAGGCCCUGGUAGAGUCCGAGGGCCGCAUGUGCAAGUCCAAGUCGGACGGUCAGCUCAGCGACAAGGUGGCGCUGGAGAACAAGGUGAAGGACCUGCUGGGUCUGGCCAAGAGCAAAGACGUGGAGAUCGUGCAUCUGCGCGGUGAGCUGAGAGACAUGAGGGUACAGCUGGGCCUGGGGGGGCCGGAGGAGCAGGACGAGGAGGAGGACGAGGAGGAGGACGAGGUGGCUCCCCCGGAGGCGGCCGGAGAGGGGGAGAAGCCCCCGGUGUCGGCCAUCACGGCGGCGGACGUGGAGUCCACCCUCCUCCUGCUGCAGGAGCAGAACCAGGCCAUCCGGGUGGAGCUCAACCUGCUGAAGAGCGAGAACCGCAUGCUGAAAGACCGGCUGAACGCCCUGGGCUUCUCCCUGGAGCAGCGGCUGGAGGUCACCGAGAAGCUGUUCGGCUACCCCACGCAGAGCCCGGACCCCGCAGCCGGCAGCGGGCAGAGCGACGGCGGGGGCCCCCUGACCUCCUCGGUGGAGGGCUCGGCGCCGGGGUCCCUGGAGGACCUGCUGACGGGCCGGCGGCACGGCGGCUCGGCCGACAACCUGGACAGCGAGUCCAGCGAGGUCUACCAGGCGGUCACGUCCAGCGACGAUGCCCUGGACGCGCCCUCCGGCGCCUCGUCCUCCUCCGAGUCGGAGAGCGCCGCCGGCCGCGGGCGCUCCCGGCGGGGGGGCGGCGGCUCGGGCGGCGGUGGCGGCGGCGGCGGCUCCGCCAGCGAGGUGUCGGUGGCCCGCCUGACGGAGCGCAUCCACCAGAUGGAGGAGAACCAGCACAGCACAGCGGAGGAGCUGCAGGCCACGCUGCAGGAGCUGUCGGACCUGCAGCAGAUCACCCAGGAGCUCAACGGGGAGAACGAGCGCCUGGGCGAGGAGAAGCUCAUCCUGAUGGACUCCCUGUGCCAGCAGAGCGACAAGCUGGAGCAGUACAGCCGGCAGCUGGAGUACCUGCGCUCGCUGCUGGAGCAGCACCACCUGGCCUACACGCUGGAGGAGGACGUCAAGAGCGGCCGCUACAUGGAGCUGGAGCAGCGCUACGUGGACCUGGCCGACAACGCCCGCUUCGAGCGGGAGCAGCUGCUGGGCGUGCAGCAGCACCUCUCCAACACGCUGAAGAUGGCGGAGCAGGACAACGCCGAGGCCCAGGAGAUGAUCGGCGCCCUGAAGGAGCGGAACCACCAGAUGGAGCGCGUGAUGGAGUCGGAGCGGCAGGGCCGGGCGGCCCUGGGCGCGGCCCUGGAGGAGUACCAGGCGGCGGUGGGCAGCGACCAGGCCGAGCUGCAGCGCUGCCGGGCCCAGCUGGAGCAGGAGAGGCAGAAGGUGGCGGAGAUGUACUCGGUCCACACGGCGGGCGACAAGAACGACAUCCGCCUGCUGCUGGAGGCCGUGCGGCUGGACAAGGAGGAGGCGGAGGCCAAGGCCGCCAAGAUGCAGGCGGAGCUGGGACACGCCCACGAUGACCUCAGCAGGAUGCAGGACGCGCUCGGCAAGCUGGACCAGGAGUACCAGGGGUUCCAGCAGCAGGUGCAGAGGCAGAUGGAGGAGACUGAGCGGGUCGUCGAGCAGCAGCGGGCCGAGCUGACGGAGAAGGAGGCGGCCGUGGCCGACAUGAAGGAGACCAUCUUUGAGCUGGAGGACGAGGUGGAGCAGCACCGCGCCGUCAAGCUACACGACAACCUCAUCGUCAGCGACCUGGAGAACUCUGUGAAGAAGCUUCAGGACCAGAAGCACGACAUGGAGAGGGAGAUAAAGAUCCUCCAUCGCAGAUUAAGGGAGGAGUCCAUGGAGUGGCGUCAGUUCCAGGCGGACCUGCAGACCGCCGUGGUCAUCGCUAACGACAUCAAGUCGGAGGCGCAGGAAGAGAUGGGGGACCUGCGGCGGCGGCUGCAGGAGUCCCAGGAGAAGAACGAGAAGCUGGGCAAGGAGCUGGACGAGGUCAAGAGCCGCAAGCAGGACGAGGAGCGGGGCCGGGUGUACAACUACAUGAACGCGGUGGAGCGAGACCUGGCCGCGCUGCGUCAGGGCAUGGGUCUGAGCCGCCGCUCCUCCACCUCCUCGGAGCCCUCGCCCACCGUCAAGACCCUCAUCAAGAGCUUCGACAGCGCCUCGCAGAGCGGCCCGCCAUGCGAAUACCUAGAUCCAUGCGGCGGUGACGAGGGCCCCGCCCCCUCUGGUUCUGCUGCAGGUCCCGCCUCCAACGCCGCCACCCUUCUUCCAACGGCGCCCGUCCCCCCCGCCCAGCUCCCACGCACCCCUCUGAGCCCCAGCCCCAUGAAGACCCCCCCCGCCGCCGCCGUCUCGCCCAUUCAGAGACACUCCAUCUCUGGGUCCAUGUCUUCGUCCAAGCCGCUCUCCUCGCUGAGUGACAAGAGGCCCAGCUACACGGACAUCAACAUGCCAGCCUGUGUUGUGUCCCCAGCGGACCACCUCCUCAGGGGAUCGUCCUCCGGCCGGACCACGGCCGUCCUCCAGAGGGUCUCCACCAUGGACCCCUCCAAGGCCAUCUCGGGUUCCCGUAGGAGCAGCGAGGAGAUGAAGCGGGACAAGUCGGCCCCAGACGGCGCGGCCCCCACCUCCCUGCUGGCUCUUGGCUCUGCCUCCUCCAUGUCGUCCUCCUCCUCCUCCCCCACCGCCUCCGUCACCCCCACCACGCGUGGGCGCCUCAGGGAGGAGAGGAAGGAUCCCCUGUCAGCUCUGGCCAGAGAGUACGGCGGCUCCAAACGAAAUGCUCUCCUGAAGUGGUGCCAGAAGAAGACUGAGGGCUACCAGAACAUCGACAUCACCAACUUCAGCAGCAGCUGGAACGACGGGCUGGCAUUCUGCGCCAUGCUGCACACCUACCUGCCCGCCCACAUCCCCUACCAGGAGCUCAGCAGCCCGGAGAAGAGGAGGAACUUCACUCUAGCCUUCCAGGCGGCUGAAAGUGUGGGAAUCAAAUGCACUCUGGACCUCAACGAGAUGGUGCGCUCGGAGAGGCCUGACUGGCAGAGCGUCAUGACCUACGUGACGGCUAUCUACAAGUACUUUGAGACCUGAGCUCCCCUCAGCACUGAGUCGUCCACCGACCUACAGCCCCCUGCACUCCACCACCCUGAUCCCCGCUGCCCGCAGGCCAGCCCGGCCCUGGAGGGCCGCGGGAGGGGGGGGGGGGGGGGGGGGAAUAUAUUCGGUUAGCUUCAACUGCUUACGCUACCAGGGCAGAGGGGCUCCACUAGGAACAGGAACAGAGACCUGAGGGGGUCCCCAGGCCACACACACUCUGACGGCGCCGUGGUCGCUGGCCCUGCUCUGUGGGAACAUCCGCUACGCGUCUACACCAUCGUCUCUGGGGAACCCAAGUAUUAUGAUUACUAUUAUUACUAUUGUUUAGUCGAGCCUUGCAGAGCGUCUCUGCUUUCAGGACGUGUCCCUUAGGAGACAAACUAGACCAAAGUGUCUUCAACACGGCGACGUGUCCCCAGCACAGCCUUCCUCUUCACCUUCCUCCUCCUGCGCUAGAUGCCUCCACAGACCGAUCUUUAAAGAGGAAUACCUUUCCAUUGGAUCUUGGAGACAUUCCUUGACACACUUCCAAGAGUUUGAAUACCUCUUGAAUGUUUUGGGGAAACUGCAGGAGGACUCGGGGAAGACCAAGAUGGAUAUCAAUAUCUACAGCCUUUUUUUUUUUUUUGCCUUCAGUCUUCCUGUGUGGUCACAGAGACUCCAGUCCAGUUGAUCAAGUGCCUGAGUCAACGCGUUGCAGGAUGCAGGGAGGGAGGCGCUCUGCGGAGCCAGUCCUUCAUGAGACCUUCAGCCAGGAGCCAGGAUUCUGUGCGUUGCCAAAUAUGUACCAGGUUGUCUGAAUGAUUUGAGGAUGGCGUGAUGAUCAACAGCCGGGACUACUACAGGCCCAUCAUUUGAUGUUGUUUUUGGGGCAUUCUGAAGAGGUCAAUCAGUGGAGCUCAGUUGACAGGACGGACCUCUGAGCUCCACCACAGAGCUAGAGUUCACUUCAGCCAUCGUUCUGCUCGGCACAUAGGGCCAACCCCCCCCCCAGGACCAGACCCCCCCUACACACAGGACCAGACCUCCCCACACACAGGACCAGACCCCCCCCCCCAGGACCAGACCCCCCCCCCCCCAGGACCAGACCUCCCCCCCCCCAGGACCAGACCUCCCCACACACAGGACCAGACCUCCCCACACACAGGACCAGACCCCCCCCUAGGACCAGACCCCCCCCAUAUAGGUUUGCUUGCCAAUAAUAGUGUUAUUGAUAUUGUUCCCUGGGUGGGUUAUUGUGUUUCUGAUCUGUGAACUGGUCUGUUGUUUCCUGUCAGAUUCUUAGUGCUAGGCCCCAAGGGGGAGGGGGGGAUUAAGCUUCAUUAUCACUCGUUAUAAAAGUCACUUUCUUAUUAUAUUAUAAAGGUCACACAUCUAGAUUUCCCCCAACGCCUCAAUAUAGCACAGACACACAGGCAAGCACACACACACGCGCAGACACACGCACACACACACGCAGACAGACACACGCAGACACACACACACACUGCAAUAGGAAGAGCGGUGGGCUGGACUGGGCUCCUGGCCUACUUCGGUGGUUGGUAGAUAGCUUUGUAUGAUUAUAAAUAUCUGAACUCUUUAUUUUGGCUCGGUGUUGAACGGUCCCACCUAGAUAAGGAACAUUAUCCACCCCCUGCUUCUUGUGCCUCUGCUACUAACUCAUCGUAUUUAUUGGCAUGCAGCCCACCCAGAAAGGUGGCAGCUGUGUUUCUUGUGUUUUCUGCACAGGAGUCCGUCAUACAAGCUGCACUGACAGAACCGUCUCUCUGUAUUCGUUGACUGCCUUUACCCUCUACUAUGAACCAAUGGGAAUGUAUCCUCACACUUUCACAAACUGGAUCCACAUAUCACCAGGCCUCCUCAUUGGACAAACACCGGCGUCGCUCCAAAGCCCCGUUACAGGUCUGCUCCUCGAUGCCCUCCUCCCUAGUGAGUGUCCGGGGCCUUACAGAGCAGCAGACCCCCUAGUGGGGGUUAUGAGCGACACCUCGGUGAGAGAGAGCUGUGGAGGAAGGGAUUAGGAUGUCACAGACUCCCAGCGAUGUUCUCUGUACAAACCGAGACCUGAUGUCUCCUGGCCUCUAGGGGGGCUGGAGGGGGGCCUUUGGUUCCAGCUCCAUGUGAUCGGGGGUGGGGGGGGGGGGACUGGAAGGUCAAUGGAACUAAUAUAACGACUCCUCCUUCCAUUCAGAAGCACAGUCCUGAAUCUCCCUCACAAUCAAAGCCGGAGAGACAUUCAUCCACCGAUCAUUUAAAGUGACGUGUAUAUAUGUAUUAAUUUUGUGAUGUAUUUAAGGAGGUAUGAUCAAAGUGGCAAUACUAGGAGGUUGCUAGGUUACUGUAUGUCGCCUUUCAUCAACGUGUCAUUAGUUGGGAACGUGCGCCAAACCACUUUUUCCUCGUACAUUCUGUUGCCUCUGAAGGAAUAUGCUAAUAUGCUAAUAUAUAUAUAAUUUGUAAAAAAUAAACAUUUCAACACAUUGGUAUUGGCGAGCUUGGAAUAGAGCUGUUGAACAGAACAAAGAUUUUUUGAAGAGCUCAUUAAAAGUGGGCAACCUCUACUUUACCAAAAGGUACCGUCGCCGGGAAAACGAACCAAUCAGUGUUUUGUUUGAAGUGCAGAGAGAAACUAAUGUGAUUUAGGUGAUUGUUGGUGUGAAAACUCUGCUUUUUUCUUUUUUUAUAACUAAUGCUCUGAGGAAUCCAUGACAUUUCCAGUGAAACCCCCGAGGCCAGCGUCCUGUACUGCCUGCUAAUGCAGAACGGAGGUCCUCCUGUUGGCUCUCGGCCCACGGUGCCUUGACCCAUGAGGAGAUCACAGUGAGAGUGUUUCAAAGGGACUAAGCUAUUAAGUGCACAACAUUAUGAUUAUCCAAGGUGAAACAAGCAGUUCCUUUAUUUAUAUUGCUAUUUUUUUUUUGGAAAUAAUAAUAAAGGACGAUUUGAAAUAAA